rnacentral:rRNA from 1 species
GAUGAACGCUGGCGGCGUGCCUAAUACAUGCAAGUCGAGCGAACAGACGAGGAGCUUGCUCCUCUGACGUUAGCGGCGGACGGGUGAGUAACACGUGGAUAACCUACCUAUAAGACUGGGAUAACUUCGGGAAACCGGAGCUAAUACCGGAUAAUAUAUUGAACCGCAUGGUUCAAUAGUGAAAGACGGUUUUGCUGUCACUUAUAGAUGGAUCCGCGCCGCAUUAGCUAGUUGGUAAGGUAACGGCUUACCAAGGCCACGAUGCGUAGCCGACCUGAGAGGGUGAUCGGCCACACUGGAACUGAGACACGGUCCAGACUCCUACGGGAGGCAGCAGUAGGGAAUCUUCCGCAAUGGGCGAAAGCCUGACGGAGCAACGCCGCGUGAGUGAUGAAGGUCUUCGGAUCGUAAAACUCUGUUAUUAGGGAAGAACAAAUGUGUAAGUAACUAUUCACGUCUUGACGGUACCUAAUCAGAAAGCCACGGCUAACUACGUG